rnacentral:rRNA from 1 species
AUGGCGGCGGCACUGCAGAUGCCUAGUACGACGACUACGGCGUCGGCUUGCGUCCCAGAUACGGCGCGGGGCACGCACGUGUUCACGAUCGCCAGCUACAGGCUGCACAAGGGCCUCGGCGCCGGCAAAUUCAUCCGAUCCGCCACCUUUGCCGUCGGCGGCUAUGACUGGUGCAUCCGGUACUACCCAGACGGAGACCUAAACCAGAAGGACCACGUCUCGGUCUGCGUCGAGCUCCAGAGCAAGAACUCCGUGGUGAGGGCGCUCUACGACCUGAGGCUGAUCAACCGGGCCACCGGGCUGUCGUCAUUGAUCUUCUCCCGGCCAUCGUCCCUCCCGGCGUUCGACUCCUUGAAGAACGAUCAUGUCAGGGGUGCUUACAAGUUCAUGAAGAUCGACCUCCUGGAGGCAUCCCCGUACCUGCAGGAUGACUGCCUUGUGAUCCAGUGCGACAUUACCGUUCUCCUCAAGGAAAUACCGGCCGUGGCGACGGUUGCCAAGCCACCUGAGAUUCAGGUAACACCGUCAGACUUGUCGAACAAUCUUGCAAAACUGCUGGAGGGCAACAAAGGAGCGGACAUGACGAUCAAGGUUAACGAUUCAUUGCCUGUCAUGCACGACCUUGACAACCAUGACAACAAGGAGAUGAUUAAGCACUUGAUCGUGGCUGCAGAUAGGUAUGCCAUGGAAAGGAUGAAGUUGAUCUGUGAGAGUAUGCUAUGCAAGAGUCUCGAUGCUAAGAGCGUUGGGGCCACAUUGGCUCUAGCUGACCAGCAUCAUUGCAGCAUCUCAGAGAAGCAUGCGUUGAGUAUAUCAAACUCUUCUCUUAGCUAG